rnacentral:rRNA from 1 species
AACGCGAAGAACCUUACCUGGGCUCGAACGGCUUUGGAAACUCCUUGGAAACAGGGAUUUCCCGCAAGGGACCGGAGUCGAGGUGCUGCAUGGCUGUCGUCAGCUCGUGUCGUGAGAUGUUGGGUUAAGUCCCGCAACGAGCGCAACCCUUGUCCUGUGUUGCCACUCCCCUUAAAAGGAAGCACUCGCAGGAGACCGCCAGCGAUAAGCUGGAGGAAGGUGGGGAUGAUGUCAAGUCAUCAUGGCCUUUAUGUCCAGGGCUACACACGUGCUACAAUGGCCGGUACAAAGCGCUGCAAACCCGCGAGGGGAAGCUAAUCGCAAAAAACCGGUCUCAGUUCGGAUCGCAGGCUGCAACUCGCCUGCGUGAAGCUGGAAUCGCUAGUAAUGGCGUAUCAGAACGAUGCCGUGAAUACGUUCCCGGGCCUUGUA